rnacentral:rRNA from 1 species
GUGUCAGCCGGCGCGGUAAUACGUAGGGUGCAAGCGUUGUCCGGAAUUAUAGGGCCUAAAGAGCUCGUAGGCGGCAAGUCGCGUCUGCUGUGAAAUCCCCCGGCUCAACCCCGGGCGUGCAGUGGGUACGGGCAGGCUAGAGUGCGGUAGGGGAGAUUGGAAUUCCUGGUGUAGCGGUGGGAUGCGCAGAUAUCAGGAGGAACACCGAUGGCGAAGGCAGAUCUCUGGGCCGCUACUGACGCUGAGGAGCAAAAGCAUGGGGAGCGAACAGCAUUAGAAACCCUGGUAGUCCC